GCCCGGGUGGUGAAAUUGGUAGACGCAGCGGACUCAAAAUCCGCCGCCGCAAGGCGUGCCGGUUCGAUUCCGGCCCCGGGCACCA
rnacentral:tRNA from 3 species